UACGUAGGGUGCGAGCGUUGUCCGGAAUUAUUGGGCGUAAAGAGCUUGUAGGUGGUUUGUCGCGUCUGCUGUGAAAAUCCGAGGCUCAACCUCGGACUUGCAGUGGGUACGGGCAGACUAGAGUGUGGUAGGGGAGACUGGAAUUCCUGGUGUAGCGGUGGAAUGCGCAGAUAUCAGGAGGAACACCGAUGGCGAAGGCAGGUCUCUGGGCCAUUACUGACACU
rnacentral:rRNA from 1 species